rnacentral:rRNA from 1 species
AUUGAACGCUGGCGGCAUGCUUUACACAUGCAAGUCGAACGGCAGCGCGGGCUUCGGCCUGGCGGCGAGUGGCGAACGGGUGAGUAAUACAUCGGAACGUGCCCAGUAGCGGGGGAUAGCUCGGCGAAAGCCGGAUUAAUACCGCAUACGACCUGAGGGUGAAAGGGGGGGAUCUUCGGACCUUGCGCUAUUGGAGCGGCCGAUGGCAGAUUAGCUAGUUGGUGGGGUAAAGGCCUACCAAGGCGACGAUCUGUAGCUGGUCUGAGAGGACGACCAGCCACACUGGGACUGAGACACGGCCCAGACUCCUACGGGAGGCAGCAGUGGGGAAUGUUGGACAAUGGGCGAAAGCCUGAUCCAGCAAUGCCGCGUGUGUGAUGAAGGCCUUCGGGUUGUAAAGCACUUUUGGCGGGAACGAAAAGGACUGUGCCAAUACCACGGUUCGAUGACGGUACCCGCAGAAUAAGCACCGGCUAACUACGUG